AGCAGCGUGGCUCAGUGGAAAGAGCACGGGCUUGGGAGUCAGAGUUCAUGGGUUCGAAUCCCGGCUCUGCCA
rnacentral:tRNA from 1 species